GACGAACGCUGGCGGCGUGCCUAAUACAUGCAAGUCGAACGCUGAAGAGAGGAGCUUGCUCUUCUUGGAUGAGUUGCGAACGGGUGAGUAACGCGUAGGUAACCUGCCUUGUAGCGGGGGAUAACUAUUGGAAACGAUAGCUAAUACCGCAUAACAAUGGAUGACCCAUGUUAUUUAUUUGAAAGGGGCAAAUGCUCCACCAUAAGAUGGACCUGCCUUGUAUUAGGUAGUAGGUGAGGUUAAGGGUCACCUAGGCGACGAUAGAUAACCCGCCCUAGAGGGUGGUCCGCCCACCCGGGAACGGGGCAAGGCCCCGGCCCCCACGGGGGGCAGCAGGAAGGAAACUUUCGGCAAUGGGGCAAAGCUGACCGGGGAACGCCGGGUGAGUGAAGAAGGUUCUCCGAUCGGAAAGCUCUGGUGUAAAUGAAGAACGAAAGUUGGAGUUAAAAGUUCACACUGUGACGGUAGCUUACCAGAAAGGGACGGCUAACUACGUG
rnacentral:rRNA from 1 species